rnacentral:rRNA from 1 species
GAUUAGAGUUUGAUCCUGGCUCAGGAUGAACGCUAGCUACAGGCUUAACACAUGCAAGUCGAGGGGAAACGAUAUAGAAAGCUUGCUUUCUUUAGGCGUCGACCGGCGAAUGGGUGAGUAACGCGUAUCCAACCUGCCCCUGAGUAAGGGAUAGCCCAUCGAAAGAUGGAUUAAUACCUUAUGGUCUCCUUUGCAGACAUCUAAUUAGGAGUAAAGAUUUAUCGCUGAGGGAUGGGGAUGCGUCUGAUUAGCUUGUUGGCGGGGUAACGGCCCACCAAGGCAACGAUCAGUAGGGGUUCUGAGAGGAAGGUCCCCCACAUUGGUACUGAGACACGGACCAAACUCCUACGGGAGGCAGCAGUGAGGAAUAUUGGUCAAUGGACGGAAGUCUGAACCAGCCAAGUAGCGUGCAGGAUGACUGCCCUAUGGGUUGUAAACUGCUUUUAUACGGGGAUAAAGUCAGGCUCGUGAGCCUGUUUGCAGGUACCGUAUGAAUAACGACCGGCUAAUUCCGUGCCAGCAGCCGCGGUAAUACGGAAGGUCCAGGCGUUAUCCGGGAUUUAUUGGGUUUAAAAGGGAGCGUAAGCCGGAGAUUAAGUGUGUUGUGAAUUGUAGAUGCUCAACAUCUGCACUG